rnacentral:rRNA from 1 species
CGUGCAGUGAGGAAUUUUCGUCAAUGGGGGCAACCCUGAACGAGCAACGCCGCGUGCAGGAAGAAGGUCUUCGGAUCGUAAACUGCUUUUCGUGUGGGACGAGUUUGGACGGUACCACAGGAAGAAGCCCCGGCUAACUACGUGCCAGCAGCCGCGGUAAUACGUAGGGGGCGAGCGUUGUCCGGAGUUACUGGGCGUAAAGGGCGUGCAGGCGGUGCGGUAAGUUUGGCGUGACAGUACCCGGCUUAACUGGGUAAGGCCUUCAAAAACUGCCGGACUUGAGGGCCAGAGAGGGACAUAGAAUUCCGGGUGGAGUGGUGAAAUGCGUAGAUAUCCGGAGGAAUACCAAAGGCGAAGGCAGUGUCCUGGCUGGCAUCUGACGCUGAGGCGCGAAAGCUAGGGGAGCGAACAGGAUUAGAUACCCUGGUAGUCCUAGCCGUAAACGAUGACCACUAGAUGUGCGGGGUAUCGACCCCCUGCGUGUCGGAGCAAACGUUUUAAGUGGUCCGCCUGGGGAGUACGGUCGCAAGAUUA